CACAAAUUAAAAACAAAUCUUAAAAGAACGAAGUGGCGCCUCCUUUCCUUCUGUGUCCAAAGACAUUGUAACCAGGAAAGUAACAAAGGCUUUGGACCUGGCAAUGAGCCAAGCAGUUUCCUCCUCCUCCUUAAAACUCCCGUCACCUGAAGCAACACAGUCUGUCUGGGUUCUAGAAUCUCGAUCCAUAAAACAAAACAUCUCUGAAGGCAAAUGGUGUAAAUAUUACUAAAAAUAUAAGAUGACCAACUGUUGGGAUACGCUUAGCCUUUGGCAGCAAAUGUCUUCAUUGCCACGUGUGGGUUGCAUCACUAACUAUUAUGCCUUAUUAUCCAUGUUACUCAAACAAAUACCUCUGUUUCCACUUGAAUUAAAUGUGGCUAUCUUGGUUAGUUUCUGUUAACUUGACACAAGCUAGAGUCACUUGAAAAAAGAGAACCUCAACUGAGAGAAUGCCCCUACUAGGUUAGCCUAUGGGGCAGUUUCUAGAAUGAUUGAUGUGAGUGAGCUCAGCCCACUGUGGGCGGGGCCAUGCUCAGGUAGGUGGUCCUGGGGUGUAUAAGAAAGCAGUCUGAGGCAGCCAUGAGGAGCACACAGUAAGCAGUGUUUCGUCAUAGUCUCUGCUUCAGUUCCUGCCCUGACUUCCCGAGAUUGGAGACUGUAAGGUGUAAUUGUAAAAUAAACUCUUUUUCCAAUUUGCUUUUUGGUCAUCGUGCUUUAUCACAGCAUUAGAAACCCUAAAUAAGAAACCCAGAGAUCCUCUGCACUUGAGUAUUUAAUCCCAGCCAACAAAUCGAUCGUGCAGGAAGCCCCUUCAUGUGGUUAUUCAAAUAUGAGAGAGAAUAUGUGUACGACAGUAUGGUUAACAUGUUUAUUAUUUUAAAGACCAGUCACAUGCCAUUAAAGUCUGACACAAUUAUCUUAGAGGAUGACAGCCUGUAAUAGAUAAAGAUAAAGGGAUGAACAGUCCAAUAUAUACUGAAAAAAAAUGGAACCCAGGUAUGGUUCCCAGCACCCACAUGGCAACUCACAAACAUCUGUAACUCCAGUUCCAGCAGAACCAACACCCUCUGACCUUCAGGAGCACCAGUAACAGGUGUAGUGAAUGUGCACACAUUCAGGCAUUCAUCACACACACACACACACACACACACACACACACACACACACACACAAGGAAUAGAUUCUAAAAUUAUCAAAAAAUGGAAGCUUAAAGAAUACAUACAAGCCUUAGAAUAUUGAAUCAGCAGGCCUUUAUUUCUACUGUUGGAAAACACAAGGAAGUGGCCUGCUGUCUAUAUCUGUUCUCUACUUUAUCUCAAACGACUAGCUCAGGCUAACCCUUCUUCAAACAUGAAGUAGCACACGUAUUUUAUAGGUCCCAGUCUAUAGACAAUUUCCAGAUGUGGAGAUCACUUCCGGACAAAGCCCCUGGAGAAAACACCCUCCCAUAUGGAUCUAGCUCUUAACUGGCUUUGUGUAAAUUUUCCUGGCCUGGCCAACUCCUCUCUCGAUUCACAGAACCUUAGGGAACUUUAUGAAUUAAUUGAAAAAAGCCAUCAGCAGAGAUUUGAGAAGAUGGCCGAUCUCUGAUUCACAGGUGGCAGGCCAUUACUCCCCAGUGGGGGCUUCUGGGAUAGAAGUCAGCCUGUUCACAUUUUCACUUUGUCCACUGCCGUCACUAAUGAGACAGGUAUCUUCGGGGCAAUCCCCGUGAGCUCACAUACAAGCAUGACCUUACUCAUCUUUAAAGCACAUUUGUACAUUUCUCUGAUGACUCCAAGAUGCUGAGUUUUAAGCACAAUUCCUUCGUGCUUAAUAUAUUUCUGGUGGCUCCCAAAUUAGCUUUUAAGCCAACCAUUGGGGGCUAUUUUUGGUUCGCUGGACCAUUAAUUUCCAAGUCCAAAAUGAAAUCCUCUGAGAGAAGAGAUCAAAAAAUGUGUCCUUUAAGUUACACAAAGAACCGGAAAUUCCCUACAGGAAAUUAAUACUCUAAUUAUAAACUUUCUGGUUGAGAAAGUUUUCAAAAGCUUUGUCUCUUUUGUGAAGUCGAAGCCACUGGUUUGGCUUCGUUUCAUUUUCCUCCAUUCAAAACAUAUGAGAAUAUUCCCAAAACAUCGGAGCAGCUGGCCCCCUCAAAACCAACUGUUCUCAUGCUCCUGGCACUGCAGAAGAGCUCCAGCCUGCUGCCCGACAGUCAUGGCCGCUUCCGAAUGGUGUGGCAGUGUUCAGGGUGGCGUGUUCUCCUGCCAAAAUUACAGCUUUGAGGCCGUACUGGAAAGAAGGGUCAACCACAGUUGAUAGCUGAGUGUAGCAGUACCUCUCCCCUUUUCUUUCCAAUUUAGCCCAUUUAAAUGUUUAGAAAACAUCGAGGAGAUUAUCUCGUGGCCCUGGGUGUUCACCUUGUCAUGACGGUCUCAGUUUACCUUUAAGACUAACAUUCUAUUAAAGGCACGACCUUUCUGGAAGCUACUUCGUGUAUUUUUUCCUAGUACUUCUGGCAGAACACGGUAAGGUAAGCACGUGCUAGAAGUGGAGGGAAAGGAGAUAACUGAGGCUGCCGUCAAAUGCAGCCAGAGUUUAUAAUCCUAAAUCAGGUUUGACCCCAGGAGUAAAGCUGUGGUUUGACAUUCGAGUCUAAGGUAUCUUGCUUGGUCUCGUAGCUACAGGACCACGUCAAAUGUCAAAUGUUCUCUUGAUCACUCAACUUUCCUGCACAAAGUCGACAAACUUCCCAGGCACGGUGUCCACAGUUUGACACAGAGGCUACAAGAGAAGCUAAAGAUUUAAGGGUAAUGAAUCUACACUGUUCCAUAAUGCUGGCAGGAGUGUUAGCCAGAAUAAGACAGUACAUAAACUGUAUAUGGUCACCUAAUUAGUACAAUCCACAGGAUGCCAAAAUGCUUACUACUGAUCAGAAAGUUUCUUUAUCAGAUUCACUAGUCUAAUUUGGCAAUAAAUCUUAUGCCAUUUUCUUCGGUGAGCUGUGUAAGCCAACUUGCAAAGAAGGUAAUUUUCAGUUCCUAUUGUAUAGCUGAAAGAAUUGAGUACUUCACAGGUGUGACUUGCUUUAAUACGAUGUAUUCUUCUAUUCCUCUCUCUAGGGCCCUCAUGACCCUCCUUUACUUUCUUGACCUCUGUAGUUUCUCCUUGCCGAAGACAGCCUGUACUGCAGGCACAGAACUUGGAAUAUUCAAGCUGGAUCUGACCUGAAAGCCUCAUCUCUGGGGAGCUUUUCUUAUAUUAGCUUUCAGAAUACCGAAAGGUUCUAUUCAGGCUGCAAUAGGAGAGAAACAAUCAAUAGUGCUACCCUACCCAUGAUACCUGUGAUCCACAGCCAUGACUGUCAUGGCAAAACAGCCUUAAUUGUACAACAGUGGCGCCCAUGUCUUGGCAAUAACCAACAGCUCUCUGGUUGGGCUUAGGGUUCAUUCAACAGUAGGGAAAUCAUGGCUUGCUACUUGAAACCUAGCCAACGACCAACUACCAAGGCUAGUGAGGUCAUGAAUCUUAGAGGAGAGCCUCCGACCACAGGUUUACUAGAUCAAUAUAAUUCCUAACUGCAUUCUAAAUACUUAUCCUUAUAUUUGUGUUGUAAAUAAAUUUCGUCUUCUCCUCUCACUAAAGAAGCGUCUCUUUGCAGCAGAGACUACCACAGAAAACCACAGCUGGUCACAACGCAGAGAGCAAUGUGUCGCUGAGGCCCAGCCCCACUGGAGGCAUCUACAGCAUACGUUUCUGCAACUGAGGCUCAGGAUGUCAAGGAAGAAGAGAAGGAAAGAUUGUUAUAGCCAGUGGAAUGGCUGGCGUGUCCUAGAAAUGACACAGAAGCCACACCCACAAAGCCCAGAUAAUGUCAACACUAAGAGAAGGAGGAACUCUCCAGGGACCCCAGCCCUAGACAGAGAAGAACAGGCAAUGAAAACUGCCUCUGAAAGAGGGAGAAUUAUUCUUUCCCAAGGAUAAAGCCCCUAAUUGUCUAGCCAAUACUGGUGGCUGGCUGUGAAGCCUACAGUCGACUCUAGACAGUUCAGGGGGUUGCGCUUAUAUGGAUAUAUGUGGGUAACAACAAUAAUGAAAGAAAAAGAGACCAUGAACUCGAGAAGGAGCUAGGGUAGGGAAUGAGAGGAACUGGAGAAAGGGGACAUCAGAGGGUUUGAGGGAGGAGAAGGAAGCAAAAGUGAUGUAAUUGUAUUUUAGUUAAAAUUUAAAAGUUAUUUUGAAACGUUCACAUUCUUAUGUGAAUGUACAAAUGUCCUCAGGUCUUGUGUGUUAAUCAAUCACGUGCCUUGUGCCAACAGAGCACAGAGGACAAUGUCCGAUCACCCUCAGGUGGAGUGAUAGAUCUAAGCUGGCAUUUGGAUGAUGGGUACUGAACCCAGGUCCUCUGCAAGAGCAGUAUACACGCCUGUGCCCUCUCUCCACCCCAGUGACCCACUUCUGACUGGCAAGUGGAUGAUAGACAAGAGGAGCAGGAAGGAGAAGGCUUCUCGUUCCAGGAUCACACAUCUAACUCCGGAGGACACAGAUCUCACCCUGGUGAGCCCGGCUCUCGACUCCUUUCCAUUUCUCCCAAGUGUGAUGAAAGUGUUAGUGUCCUAGGACUACAGCAAGAAACACCACACGGAGAAAAUACGUCAUGUCAAUGUGGACCCAAGAAGUAGUGAUGAGUAAUGCAGCAGACCAUGAGACACUCGAACAUCAAAGACACGUGACACCAGGACAGGGCAGACAGCUGUUUCCAUCACCUAUGACAAAUGAAACUGAGACAAAGAUUCACUGGGAGCCACAGCUUUGCCGUGAGAAAUUGGAGCUCUGACAGACACCGACUGACUACAGCAUAGUCAGGACCAGUGCAUUUGCUACCCUAGAGGACAGCUCGUAACUCGUCAAUCUUGCCACUAUUGAUGUCUGGACCAUUAAUGCCUUUCCUUAGGGCUGCCCCGUGUACGAAAGGAUGCCUACCAGCACUGCUGUCCUCCAUCCACCAGCCAGAACAACUGCUCGCCCUUCUCCUAACAACCUGAAUUGUCUCCUCACACUGUCAAGUAUCCCUUGUGGAGUGUAUCUGCCCCCGGCUGAGUCUCUGAUCCUGAUGCCAUUUUGGAAAAGUCAUAUGGCUUCCCUGCUCUCAGUAGCCAGAAAAGCAUUUGGUGAGGCAGUCUUUUACCAUCUCCAGCAUAAGGGAGGGAGGCCCUUUGACAUACGAAAUGAUUAGAGCAUCAAUAUUUUGUUUGCCUUCUUUUCUUAUGGUGGGACUAAAAUGUUCAUUACUUCUUCCAAUAAGGUUGCUGGGACACAGUUAAUUCUUGUCCAAGGUGACUCUGUUACCGAAAUACAUUGCCAUCCUUGCAUCUCAUUUUCCUGAGCUGGUCUAGCAGGCUAAGGAACAAAACUUGGGUCUGUCAUGCAUGGUUGCAGAAGGAGUACAAAAGCACCCACCUGAGUCUGCGAACAAUCAAUGAAGUCCAAUUCAUGCUCCAAACCUAAGGUCCCUGAACUGGCAUAUCGUCACAUUGAUGGAAAACAAAGAAUUGCUCCCCAAAGUCACCUAAAGAUACCAUUUGGGUGGGAAGUGCUUUUGGAUUAUGUUCAAAGGAAGAGAGAGAAAUGGCAAGCAAAAGUGGAGAUGCUGGAGGGAUAGAAACGCCAUGCCAGUCCGGCACGGACAACACCGUCCAUCCGGCGGUGUCCCUGACAUAAUCAGUUCACAGACAGCUGUGCUUUGUACAUGUGAGUGCAACUCAGUCACCAAGAGGCUUCAGCUCUUCAGAAAGGAAGGAGGGUGGGAGAAAGAAGAACUACAACUUGUCCAACCCAGAUCCAAAAGAAGACUUGAAGAACACACACAUGUUGGAUAGAAAUGCUACAUCUACACACAAGAGGGACAGAAACCUUGUCACAGCCAAGAACCAGGUAACUGGGAGUCCACAGGGAAUACUCGGCCUCCUCCUUGCCUCAAGAUCGACGACUCCACACACAGAACAAGGACGGUUCCCCUCAUGUCCACACGCUGCAGCCAGAGACAGGACUACACAUCAAAGCGCAGAUAAACCGUUUUCCAUCUUAGACUUCACUGACCUUGGUAGAUAAAAGCCUGGGGGGUCCCUAUCCCAAAGAAAGGGGAAUGUUAACAGGACACUGUUCCCAACCAUUCUGGAGAAAGUCAGAACACUUCCUGUCUUUAUUCCAUAUGCUGUGCCCAUGAACCAAUUCUUAAGCUCUUACAUUUUAAAAAAUUAUGAGUUAAAACGACAUAAAUGGGCAUAAGCCCCUUUCCUUCCUUCCUUCCUUCCUUCCUUCCUUCCUUUCUUCUUUUUCC
rnacentral:sRNA from 1 species